rnacentral:rRNA from 1 species
AACGAACGCUGGCGGCGUGGAUAAGACAUGCAAGUCGAACGAGACUUUUCGUUGUAGCAAUACGAUGGAAAGUUUAGUGGCGAACGGGUGCUUAACACGUGGGCAACCUGCCAUGAAGUGGGGGAUAGCUCGCCGAAAGGCGAAUUAAUACCGCAUGUGAUUAGAGAGGACAUCCUUUCGAAAUCAAAGUCGGGGCAACCUGACGCUUCUUGUGGGGCCCGCGGCCUAUCAGCUAGUUGGUGAGGUAACGGCUCACCAAGGCUUUGACGGGUAGCUGGUCUGAGAGGACGACCAGCCACACUGGGACUGAGACACGGCCCAGACACCUACGGGUGGCAGCAGUCGAGAAUUUUUGACAAUGGGGGAAACCCUGAUCGAGCGACGCCGCGUGGAGGAUGAAGGUCUUCGGAUUGUAAACUCCUGUCAUUGGGGAACAAGUCGCUUACGUUAACUGCGUGAGCGUUGAUAGUACCCGAAGAGGAAGAGACGGCUAACUCUGUGCCAGCAGCCGCCGUAACAC